rnacentral:rRNA from 1 species
AUUGAACGCUGGCGGCAUGCCUUACACAUGCAAGUCGAACGGCAGCACGGGGCAACCUGGUGGCGAGUGGCGAACGGGUGAGUAAUGCAUCGGAACGUGCCAUUGAGUGGGGGAUAACGUAGCGAAAGUUGCGCUAAUACCGCAUAUUCUGUGAGCAGGAAAGCAGGGGACCGCAAGGCCUUGCGCUCUUUGAGCGGCCGAUGUCAGAUUAGCUAGUUGGUGAGGUAACGGCUUACCAAGGCGACGAUCUGUAGCGGGUCUGAGAGGAUGAUCCGCCACACUGGAACUGAGACACGGUCCAGACUCCUACCGGGAGGCAGCAGUGGGGAAUUUUGGACAAUGGGCGCAAGCCUGAUCCAGCCAUGCCGCGUGAGUGAAGAAGGCC